rnacentral:lncRNA from 1 species
GCUUGAUGAUAACCUCAGAGCCAACUGUAAAGAUUAUCUCUUAGUUCUUGUGAGGGGCUGUUUUCCAGACCUUGUCACAGGGUUUCUGAUGAGCACAAAACAGCAACUUUGGAUACAGAAUCCAACCGUGGAGCAAGUCAGCAAGUUCUUAAGAGAUCUUCUCCUUGGAUGGACCUUUUCAGAAGGGGCUGUCUGUGUAGAUGAAGUACUGUGAAAUGUGAUGGCUAGGAAGCCACACUGAAAGGGCUGCUAACCUGAUGAAAAUUUCAGAAAUGUCCCUAUGCUAAAUCAGGAGGAAGUCAAGACCUUUCAGCUUGUUGUGAGAAAUUGGAGGGAACAGCCUAGUGGAAGAACUAUCACCUAAGACUGGGAGGAAGAAGAGUUAAAUUAAUUGCUUAAGAGUCAGGACUUGGCUAAUGUCACUUGAAUGACAAUAAAGUAAUAAAGAGUGAUUAAGUAAUGCCCUUC